CCCUUAGAUGUUCUGGGCUGCACGCGCGCUACACUGAUGCACUCAACGAGUUUACGACCUUGCCCGAUAGGGUUGGGUAAUCUUUUUAAAAUGCAUCGUGAUGGGGAUAGAUUAUUGCAAUUAUUAAUCUUCAACGAGGAAUUCCUAGUAAGCGCGAGUCAUCAGCUCGUGCUGAUUACGUCCCUGCCCUUUGUACACACCGCCCGUCGCUCCUACCGAUUGAGUGCUCAGGUGAAUAAUUCGGACUGCAGCAAUGUUUGGAUCCCGAACGUUGCAGCGGAAAGUUUAGUGAACCUUAUAACUUAGAGGAAGGAGAAGUCGUAACA
rnacentral:rRNA from 1 species